GAUGAUAGUUGCUACAUUGAAAACUAAAAAGGUUUGUGUUGGUCUUGGAAGAUACAUCACGCAAGGAGCCAAGGGAAGAGGUUUGUUCUGUUGACUGCUGGGCUCGAGGAAAGAGGCUGCUUACAGAGCCAAACUCAAAGGCUAAGGUCCGUGAAUAGAGUUCCUUGUACUCAAAGCUGAAGUCAACGGUGCUCUUCUCCAUCGAGACAUGUAUGUAUGAAGCCAGAACUUAGGAGAGAUUGUGUCUGCUACAUGUUCACCUUCUUGCUUCCUCAGCCAGCAAUCCCAGCUCCUCUCUUUCUCCCUCCUCCACGCUCAGACGAGACCAAUGGAGUUUGGUGAAACCAAAGACUAUUGUUGGCCAUUGAAGAUACACAUAUCACAAGGACCCAAGUGAAUAGCUAGCCCAGAUGUUUCUUCUGUUGAAUGGUGGAUGAUUCGAGGAGGCUGCUUGCUUGCAGAUCAAACUCAAUGACCAAGAUUUUAUAUGAUGAUAAGCUAGUGAAGUUGUGAUGGCUGCAGGAGAAGUAUCUGAACCCUUGUAUCAGAGCGUGUUGUUGGCUUGUUGCUUCUCUAGGAUAAAGAAUAUGCUUUCUUCACAGAAUGAGGGAUGAUGCGUGCACACUAUGACGCAGCAACAACAAAGAUGGAAUGUAAUAUUA